UUUUUUUUUUUGCAUUCUCUCGCUUAGCAUUAUUUUGCUGCUAAUGUGUGAAUGACACACAGCUGUAAGAGUGAAAUAAUUGAAUUAAAAUGCAGUAUUGAGCCCGGAGAGCAUUGUAGCCGCUUGAUUCUGCAAAACAACCUACAUGUGGGGGGCCUUGUACAGGAAGCUCUGGUUACAUUGUUUCCAAAGCGCUGAACAGGGAUCGAGGACUUCCUGAUGCCAAGAAUGCUGCAGACAGGAUAUGGCUCACGGAAACACUUUCAGACAACUACUCCUCCUACCUCUUUUCUACCUCCAGUCAGACACAUAUCAGUCCAGUAUCCAGACGUACAAACAGCACAUGGACAGUUGAUGCAGCGCUCAUCACAAAAAGACUCCAAACCACCUGAGGUCUCGUCUGCAGUUUGUACACUGCCACCUGCUGCCUGGCUUCUCAAACCACAACAAACCAACUUUGCUCAUGCAACAGUCACAAACACACAAGGGAAAUAUUCAGACACAGAUCGUAUCAGAUCAGCUUUGAACCAACGGAUGGACAUCAUGCCAUCUUUAAAACCCUUCAGACAUCAGGUUACCCAUCAUCACAGAAGACCACACUCAAAAUUCACAAUUGAUCGCAGUGAAGGACGCAGCUGUUUCCAUGUGGUGAAGCCAUAUAAAGGUGGACACUACAUCAUCCACCCAGAGUUUGUGUCAGAAGCAAAGCACUACUAAAAAUGACUUGUUGUCAGUUUGAUAAUGUCAUUUUACAGUGUAUUUUUGAGGUACGUUUGGUGUUUGGAGAUCCUGCCUCGUAAAAUAUUCUUAGGUGCAGCUUCAUUUUAUUGACUGUAGAACGUAUUUUUGGAUGUAAAUGUGCAUUUCACGACAAAUAAACAAGGUUUAUG
ensembl:lncRNA